GAUGAACGCUGGCGGCGUGCCUAAUACAUGCAAGUCGAGCGAAUGGAUUAAGAGCUUGCUCUUAUGAAGUUAGCGGCGGACGGGUGAGUAACACGUGGGUAACCUGCCCAUAAGACUGGGAUAACUCCGGGAAACCGGGGCUAAUACCGGAUAACAUUUUGAACCGCAUGGUUCGAAAUUGAAAGGCGGCUUCGGCUGUCACUUAUGGAUGGACCCGCGUCGCAUUAGCUAGUUGGUGAGGUAACGGCUCACCAAGGCAACGAUGCGUAGCCGACCUGGGAGGGUGAUCGGCCACACUGGGACUGGGACACGGCCCAGACUCCUACGGGAGGUAGCAGUAGGGAAUCUUCCGCAAUGGACGAAAGUCUGACGGAGCAACGCCGCGUGAGUGAUGAAGGCUUUCGGGUCGUAAAACUCUGUUGUUAGGGAAGAACAAGUGCUAGUUGAAUAAGCUGGCACCUUGACAGUACCUAACCAGAAAGCCACGGCUAACUACGUGCCAGCAGCCGCCGUAA
rnacentral:rRNA from 1 species